UACAUUGCAGCUUGAAAUUCAGUAGUGUUUAUAUAUCUUGAUGUGAUAAGCGUCAUAUCUACUGGUGUGUGGAUUCCAAAAAACAAACAAGGUUAGCUUCGCUCCAUUGGGUUCAAGUAGUUCCUGCAUCAGCUGAUGAACGUCAGUACGUCCAUUUCAUGCUGUUGAUCAUUGCUGAGAGAGUCAAAUGCACAGGAAUGACCGCCAAGAGAGAACCAAUGAUCUUGAGAUAAUUAUGAGGAACAAAUGGGAACACCACAGACAGAUCAAACUAUAUCACCCAGCUACCAAAGAAAUCAUGGACAAGUCAAAAAAAACUUUCAAAACUGUCAAUGGUGAUGUUAUUGAAUCUGAUAUGAUGAAAUAUUACAUGUAAAUUAAUCUAUCUACAAAUACAUCUUUUAAUUGUGAAGUAAAUAUUUUUAUAAACUAGCGGAAAUUAAUUCGAGUUAUAAGAUGCAGUCUUUUUCAAUACAUUCGCAGGGUUCAGGGCUAGGCAAGCAUCUAUUCUCUUAAUUGCCCAGACUGCAGUUAAAAGUCAAUAACAAUGGUGGUCUGCUAUGGCGGGAUUCAAAGCCACGUCCCCGGGACAUUAACCUGGGGCUCUGAAUUACUAGCUUAAGGACGUUGCCACAACGCCACUGUCUCUCCUUCUCGGAAAUGGAGAGGUUAUGGAAACUCCACGUGACGUUAAAGACAGUAACGAGGCUGAGGUAUAGUGUGGCGAAUAUAGAACUGGUAGGUAUUGGUCAUAGUACGGCCACACCUGUCAACUAGAGCGCACUAGAAAAUAUCAUCCCUCAUCUUAAUUUAUUUCACAUUGCGGCUGACCCCAUACUGUUUGAUCAAAUUCAUUUGUUACUUAAUUCGGAGACAAAUCCAGAUCAUCGCGACCAUUUUACAUACAGGUGCUACCUGAAAUUUGCAGGUUCAACAACCAAUCUGCUCCCUAUAAACAGAAGAAUUUCUACCCUGUUUGAAGGUGCAACAUCAGGCUCUCUGUGGAUACUCAAUGCUCGUACGAAUUCUGUGUACUGUAUACUAGAAAAACAUGGGAUUGCAAUGACGAAAAUCUGACUUUGGUAUGCUUACAUAAUUCAAGUGUGAUUUAUAACACUAGUAGAUUUUUUUUGGAAAGUUGCGUGUUAUUUAUCUUGAUAAAAACACUAAUUAAUGACAUGUUGCUGGUGUUAAACGUUUAAAUAGGUUUUAAAUUUACAACAAAAGAUGUAAUUCGACCUUUAAAUUACUUGAAAGAACAUUUGAAGCCUUUGGCACUAGGUCGACUUUAAACUUCUGAAACCCAGAAAAUAGCUCUCCAACGUAAUUUAUAAGCUUUUAAAAUUAAAUGAUUAUGGCUACGGA